rnacentral:rRNA from 1 species
GUCAAAACACGAAAUUUGGCCGGGUGUCGUCGUCGUUGGCCAUGUGGCCACCUCACGAAGAUGGAGAACUGGUAUGCGCUGCCCCGUCUUUUUUUUUUUGAACUAAAGAGGGGUCUGGAACGACUCUGAGCUUUCGUUUAACACAAAGCGGUGGAAGUACAAAGCUCCUACAAGGACUCCAAAGUAAAAUACAUAACAAACAAGCCCCUGACUUUUACAUGGAGGACCCCAAACUGAAAGCAAGAAACGCGAUUGGGUCCCUAUCAGCCACCGCCCGGAUUGAACCUCAUCGUCGUCGGGGACGAACCACUUGGCGUGAAGAAAUCGCCAUGGCCGCAACACCUGCACACCAUAGCCUCCGAACAACAGCUGGAUCUGCCUCCAAUAAGACACGCACGCCGGGAGGAAUGGAGUGGGCCGCCAUUCGGCCAGAAGAAGCAGCGAACCAGCGGAGACCGGCAGCCAAUCGAGGGCGCCGUCGCUCCACCAUGGAAUCAACUGCUGAUAUGCACGAACUCGAUCUGCAGACUUCAAGUAUCUGCAACGCCCCCGCUCCUCAUCCACCACCAAAGUGACUUGAAAGAGCAAGCAGCAGCAGAGGGCCAUCCUCCAGAUCAGGGAAGACCUCAGGCUUAUUGGGGAAAGAGAGCUCGCACCAGAUCCACUCCCAUCUGCCUCCAUCCACCAUGGAUGGCCGGCCUGGGAGGCUACUGGUAACCACCAAACACUGCCUGGAUUUGUUGAUGGGGAGCUCAAGUACGGCAUAAUGCCAGACGCCACGGAGGCAAGACACAACCUACACCUAAACCUAAGACUACUAUGAACAGAGGGAGACCGACCACCUAACCCAUCCUCACACCGGACGGCAGAGCCGCCGGAGAGGGAGAGGGGCGGCGACGGAGUGCACGAGGAGACUCUCAACCGGAGCAGGGAAGAGAUGGAGAAGAGAGACUUCCUCUUCUCUUCCGUUUACAUGGUGAGCUAUGUCAGGCGUGUGAUGAAAGCAGCGGAGUCUUGUCUUGCUGCUCCUAUGCAUCAACCGGGAUCGAUCAGUCAUCAGUGCCGCAAUGCGGCGAGCGCUUGUGAGUCGGUGGCGGGCAGGACUCCAUGAGCUGCAUGCCGAGGCAGUGGAGGGACUAGCGUGUGGAGAUAGCUGCAAUGCCGGCGGGUGUGCAGUGCGUACAUAGUACGUG